AGGGGCCCUUUGUCACCUGCAGGAGUCGGCAUUGUCACCUGAGUGGGCGGGACUUAGAGGGGAGGGGCCCUUUAUCACCUGCAUGAGUCCACAUUGCCAACUUGGGGACGGGACUUAUCAUGGUAUGGCCAUUGUCACCUAGAUGGGCAGAGUUUGGCAGGGUGUGGCCAUGGUCACCUAGGUGGGUGGAGCUUGCAGGGUGUGGCCAUUGUCCCCUGGGCUGGCUCCUGAAAUUCCGCAUUGUGCAGGAUGCCUCCCAGACCCAAGCUGGCGCCAGUAGCAACUCGGGCUGGUUUGACAGUCCUGCAAUCUGCCGUCAGGAACCGGGACUGGUGUUGCUUGUUGUAUGCUACACUAAGCCCAAUGAGAAGAAGGGGCACUGUGCUCUUUUUGCAACAAUAGCCUUGGAAGCUGUUCCACCUCUCGGCCUGGCUGGACUUCUCCUGAGUUUCAGAGGGUCUCCCACAGAACACCUUCACCUGUUUUACAACCACUGUGACAGACAGACUGAGAUGUAAGAAGCCUCUCCAUCAAGGACUGAGACAUGAAACCCCUAUGUGAGAAGGCUCCUUUCUGCUCCUUACAAGGACUGGGACUGAAAUCCCCAACCCAGAGGAGGUGUGUGUGGGAGGCAAGCUGACCAAACCAAGAUGUUUGCCUGCAGCUUGUGACCACUGGACCAAGAAAACAAUGGCUCUCAUUUACUGCUGAGAACAUGGACUAACUGUUACAUCUAUUCCUUAUUGUAUCUGUCUCCUCCACCCCCCCCUCACAAUUUUCAAUAGAAUUAUCAUAAUAAAAAUCUCUGAGUUAGCUGGAGAUUUUGAGAUCUCCCCAAUGUAACAGGCGGAUCCUCGACUGGACUUGACCAAAGGACUUCGUCUCUACAUUUGGUAGCUAUACCUGCCCUCCCCACCCCCUUUUCUUCUCUCUUUCUCUGUCUUUUUCUCUCUCUUAAUCUCUCUAUCGCAUUUUGCUGUGGUCAUUCAAUGAAGGUGCAUUUGUUUUGAUUAUUACUGCAAAUCCCCUGUGCCUUUUUGGUUCUUUGCACCCUGAGAUCACCCCUACAAACCAUCACAUCACCCAUUCACUAGGACGGAUUGUAACAGGCCUGGAGUGGCCAGCUGGCUCCUGAAGUUCCGCAAUACAUAGGAUGCCUCCCAGACCCAAGCUGGCACCAGUGCCAAAUCAAGGUACUUUGAUAGUGGCAAGUGCCUCCUGUAAAAAGCCAUUAGGAACCUGGACUAAAAGUCCAGGAACCUGGACUUUUGUUUGCCAGGGAAAAGGGCCAGCACUGGUGUUCAGGGGCCUGUGGCCCAGAGUGGCUGGCUGCAUGCUGAAAAUUGUGCAUCAUGCCAGAUGGCAGAGGGUCAGGGUUAGGAGGUGCUGGGCAUUCCUAGGAGCACGCUGUCUGAGAGACACCAGCCAAGUGCCAGCAGGACCUUCCCAGCUG